rnacentral:rRNA from 1 species
AAUUUUGGACAAUGGGCGAAAGCCUGAUCCAGCAAUGCCGCGUGAGUGAAGAAGGCCUUCGGGUUGUAAAGCUCUUUUGUCAGGGAAGAAACGGUGAGGGCUAAUAUCCCUUGCUAAUGACGGUACCUGAAGAAUAAGCACCGGCUAACUACGUGCCAGCAGCCGCGGUAAUACGUAGGGUGCAAGCGUUAAUCGGAAUUACUGGGCGUAAAGCGUGCGCAGGCGGUUUUGUAAGUCUGAUGUGAAAUCCCCGGGCUCAACCUGGGAAUUGCAUUGGAGACUGCAAGGCUAGAAUCUGGCAGAGGGGGGUAGAAUUCCACGUGUAGCAGUGAAAUGCGUAGAUAUGUGGAGGAACACCGAUGGCGAAGGCAGCCCCCUGGGUCAAGAUUGACGCUCAUGCACGAAAGCGUGGGGAGCAAACAGGAUUAGAUACCCUGGUAGUCCACGCCCUAAACGAUGUCUACUAGUUGUCGGGUCUUAA